CGGGCAGCCGUGACCCUGCUGGAGUGCGGGGGGGACCUCCUGCCCCCCGGGGGGUCCCUGCGCCUCCUCUGCAGAGGGUCCGGGUUUGAUUUCAGGAGUUUUGGAAUGCACUGGGUGCGCCAGAGACCCGGGCAGGGGCUGGAAUACAUCGCCAGUAUCAGCAGCAGUGGUGGCAGCACCGACUACGCACCGUCGGUCAAGGGCCGGGCCACAAUCUCCAGGGAAAACGGGCAGAGCUCGGUGACGCUGACCAUGAACAACCUCAAGGACGACGAUUCCGCCGUUUAUUACUGUGCCAAACGUGGUACUAGUGGUUAUGGUGGUGGUGCUGCUUAG